rnacentral:rRNA from 1 species
UACGUAGGGUGCAAGCGUUAAUCGGAAUUACUGGGCGUAAAGCGUGCGCAGGCGGUUCGUCGCGUCGGCUGUGAAAACCCGGAGCUCAACUCCGGGCCUGCAGUCGAUACGGGCGGACUUGAGUGUUGCAGGGGAGACUGGAAUUCCAGGUGUAGCGGUGAAAUGCGUAGAUAUCUGGAGGAACACCGGUGGCGAAGGCGGCAUCCUGGACCGACACUGACACUGAGGAGCGAAAGCCAGGGGAGCAAACGGG